AGGUCCCUCCCCGGAGCCCUGAACCCAAUUGAACCCUUGGUACUAAGUUCCCUAAUUAACGUAACCCUUAAAAAGUUAACCGUUAAAAUUUGUUCCUGCACCGUGAGUCCCCUGCCCAUAACACUAACAUUACUCCCCGAAACCGGGGCUCAUACCCGACAACCUUUUGAACCGCAGGGUUCUAAAUUGAAUGGCCGCUUCGACUGUCCCUUAUGGAUGGACCCACGUCGCAAUAUCUAGUUUCUCAGGUAACACCUCACCAAGGCGACCAUACAUAACCAACCUGAGAGGGUGAUCUGCCACACUGGCACUGAUACACCGCCCAGACUCCUACGGGAGGCAUCAAUAGGGAAUCUUCCCCAAUGGACGAAAGUCUGACGGAGCAACGCCGCGUGACUGAUGAAGGCUUUCUGGUCGUAAAACUCUGUUGUUAGGGAAGAACAAGUGCUAGUUGAAUAAUCUGGCACCUUGACGGUACCUAACCAGAAAGCCACGGCUAACUACGUGCCACCAGCCGCGGUAAUACGUAUGUGGCAAGCGUUAUCCGGAAUUAUUGGGCGUAAAGCGCGCGCAGGUGGUUUCUUAAGUCUGAUGUGAAAGCCCACGGCUCAACCGUGGAGGGUCAUUGGAAACUGGGAGACUUGAGUGCAGAAGAGGAAAGUGGAAUUCCAUGUGUAGCGGUGAAAUGCGUAGAGAUAUGGAGGAACACCAGUGGCGAAGGCGACUUUCUGGUCUGUAACUGACACUGAGGCGCGAAAGCGUGGGGAGCAAACAGGAUUACAUACCCUGGUAGUCCACGCCGUAAACGAUGAGUGCUAACUGUUAGAGGGUUUCCGCCCUUUAGUGCUGAAGUUAACGCAUUAAUCACUCCGCCUGGCGAGUACGGCCGCAAGGCUGAUACUCAAAGGAAUUGACGGGCGCCCGCACAAGCGGUGGAGCAUGUGGUUUAAUUCAAAGCAACGCGAACAACCUUACCAGGUCUUGACAUCCUCUGACAACCC
rnacentral:rRNA from 1 species